rnacentral:tRNA from 1 species
GCCCUGAUGGCGGAAUGGUAGACGCGCCGGACUUAAAAUCCGGUGGGGCUCAAACCUCGUGCCAGUUCAAGUCUGGCUCAGGGCA